rnacentral:rRNA from 1 species
GAUGAACGCUGGCGGCGUGCCUAAUACAUGCAAGUCGAACGAAACUUCUUUAUCACCGAGUGCUUGCACUCACCGAUAAAGAGUUGAGUGGCGAACGGGUGAGUAACACGUGGGCAACCUGCCCAAAAGAGGGGGAUAACACUUGGAAACAUGUGCUAAUACCGCAUAACCAUAGUUACCGCAUGGUAACUAUGUUAAAGGUUGCUGUACUACCGCUUUUGGAUGAGCCCGCGGCGCAUUAGCUAGUUGGUAGGGUAAAGGCUUACCAAGGCAAUGAUGCGUAGCCGAAUUGAGAGGUUGAUCGGCCACAUUGGGACUGAGACACGGCCCAAACUCCUACGGGAGGCAGCAGUAGGGAAUCUUCCACAAUGGGCGAAAGCCUGAUGGAGCAACGCCGCGUGGGUGAAGAAGGUCUUCGGAUCGUAAAACCCUGUUGUUAGAGAAGAAAGUGCGUGAGAGUAACUGUUCACGUUUCGACGGUAUCUAACCAGAAAGCCACGGCUAACUACGUG